rnacentral:rRNA from 1 species
GAUGAACGCUGGCGGCGUGCCUAAUACAUGCAAGUCGAGCGAACGGACGAGAAGCUUGCUUUUCUGAUGUUAGCGGCGGACGGGUGAGUAACACGUGGAUAACCUACCUAUAAGACUGGGAUAACUUCGGGAAACCGGAGCUAAUACCGGAUAAUAUUUUGAACCGCAUGGUUCAAAAGUGAAAGACGGUCUUGCUGUCACUUAUAGAUGGAUCCGCGCUGCAUUAGCUAGUUGGUAAGGUAACGGCUUACCAAGGCAACGAUGCAUAGCCGACCUGAGAGGGUGAUCGGCCACACUGGAACUGAGACACGGUCCAGACUCCUACGGGAGGCAGCAGUAGGGAAUCUUCCGCAAUGGGCGAAAGCCUGACGGAGCAACGCCGCGUGAGUGAUGAAGGUCUUCGGAUCGUAAAACUCUGUUAUUAGGGAAGAACAUAUGUGUAAGUAACUGUGCACAUCUUGACGGUACCUACUCAGAAAGCCACGGCUAACUACGUG